rnacentral:rRNA from 1 species
CCCUUCGAUGUCCUGGGCCGCACGCGCGCUACACUGAGUGUCUGAGAUACGAGUCUGCCUGGUCCGGCAAGGUCUAGGUAAUCGCUAAAAGACACAUCAUGCUUGGGAUAGAUUAUUGCAAAUAUUAAUCUUGAACGAGGAAUUCCUAGUAAGCGCAAGUCAACAGCUUGCGUUGAUUACGUCCCUGCCCUUUGUACACACCGCCCGUCGCUACUACUGAUUGGAUGUUUAAGCGAGGUUCUCGAACUGCUAGCGACUUAGCUUCGGUGAGGUCGCAGUGUGGGAAGUGAACCUAGCUUUGGUGUCUAGAGGAAGUAAAAGUCGUAACA